UACGGAGGGUGCAAGCGUUGUUCGGAAUCACUGGGCGUAAAGGGCGUGUAGGCGGCCUGUUAAGUCCGAUGUGAAAUCCCCUCGCUCAACGAGGGAACUGCGUCGGAAACUGGCAGGCUCGAGUACCGGAGAGGAAGGUGGAAUUCCCGGUGUAGCGGUGAAAUGCGUAGAUAUCAGGAGGAAUACCGAUGGCGAAGGCAGGUCUCUGGGCUGACACUGACGCUCAUGCACGAAAGCGUGGGGAGCAAACAGG
rnacentral:rRNA from 1 species